rnacentral:lncRNA from 1 species
GUGAAAGCAUUGGAAGGAAAAAUGGAUUUAGUAUCGUUUCAUAUGGAAGCAAUGAUCUUCAACUUCUGUGAUGCAUUUUCAGCUCUGUGGGAUCACUUUUCUAAGGGGUGCCUUCUGCUUUCCCAUGUCAAACUUUUAUGAAGUGUGUUUGAUGAAAUCAGUGACAUUGGUUACAUUCAAGAUCAUCAAAUUCCUUGGUAGACACUGAGUAUUCACCGAUGUAAAGUGAAGCAAACACUGGAUACUGAUGUGAUCUAUCAUUCAUCAGCAUUGUAUCUAUGUACUAAAAUCAUGGCUUUAUAUGCGCUGUUUGUCUUGCUUCUCAUGGUUAUAAAAGAAAAGGAACACAAUUCUGAAGAUAAAGGUUUCUAAGACCAGUGAAUAUACUCAGUGAAGAGUAUAAAGUAUUGAAAGAAAAUUUUUUUUCUGACAUGGAAGUGACAGGAAAAGGGUGAGGUUCUGAGGGCAUUAGCUUAAUUCUGGAGUAACACGCUCUGAAUAAGAGGCAAUUAGAUAUGAAAACUUUCCUUAAGCUGUGUAUUUGGGAAAAAAAGAAACAAUAUGAUUAUUCAAAAAUUACCUACAGACUUACAACUUUGAAUAUAUUCAUUGUAACAGACAAAUUUUUGCAAUUAACAAUUAAGUGAAAAAAAGUUAUAUUAUAAUAGAUAAAAUUAAUCUUGGUCUAAAAUUUAAAAAGGUUGCUUCAU